AUAUUGGGCAAUGGGCGAAAGCCUGACCCAGCCAUGCCGCGUGAGUGACGAAGGCCUUAGGGUUGUAAAGCUCUUUUGGCGGGGACGAUAAUGACGGUACCCGCAGAAUAAGCCCCGGCUAACUUCGUGCCAGCAGCCGCGGUAAUACGAAGGGGGCUAGCGUUGUUCGGAAUCACUGGGCGUAAAGCGCACGUAGGCGGACUUUCAAGUCAGGGGUGGAAUCCCGGGGCUCAACCUCGGAACUGCCUUUGAUACUGUUGGUCUCGAGUCCGGAAGAGGUGGGUGGAAUUCCUAGUGUAGAGGUGAAAUUCGUAGAUAUUAGGAAGAACACCGGUGGCGAAGGCGGCCCACUGGUCCGGUACUGACGCUGAGGUGCGAAAGCGUGGGGAGCAAACAGG
rnacentral:rRNA from 1 species